CACGACGGCAGCGGCAGCAGCGGAUUGAUGGCAGCAGCGGCUUGAUGGCAGCAGCGGCUUGAUGGCAGCGAUGUGAUGGCAGCAGCGAAUAAUGGCAGCGGCGAGUGAUGAUAGCAGCGACUGAUGGCAGCAGCGACUGAUGGCAGCAGCGAAUAAUGGCAGCGGCGAGUGAUGAUAGCAGCGACUGAUGGCAGCAGCGACUGAUGGCAGCAGCGAUUGAUGGCAGCGAUGUGAUGGAGUUGACGUAGCAAAAUUGGACACUUGGCGACACUAUAUAUUUACGGGGUUUGGUAGCGGCACUGGAAGCGCCGAGACUAUUUCGAACCACUUGGUGUUAUUAACGUGAAACACACUGUACCGCACCUUCUUCACGUCACGUAUACGCGUAUAUAUGUAUGUAUAUUUAGAUUUACAAAGGAUGUCGCUUGGCGCAACA